AACAGAGAAUGAUUUAUUUUAUUCAUCACAUCACAACUUUACAACUUAUUAUUCCCUACAUCCUUAUUUCCUACCUACUACAUCAAGAAAACAAACCAAACUUCCUACCUACUAUAUCAAGAAAAGAAAAGGAAAGGCAUGCGUGUGGGAACAAAAUCAGCCAUUUUAGUAGACUACUCAAGUAUAGCCAUUAAUGCACUCCUUCAAAUAAACAUAUCAGCAACAACUCUCUUCCAUUUCACUUCUCAUUUCCCCUCCAUUCUGCACUAAUAACCCACGUGAAGGAGGAACUCCAUUCAUUGCUCUUCUGCCAAACUUUAGAGUGUAUCUAUCAACUGAUUCAAUCACACAGCAGCCACCCAAACACAAGGAUCCACAGGUCAAGCACGAGAUUAAUAAUCAGACAAGGAGCUACUGUACCACAGAAAGUUUCUAUCAGGUUGAGUAGCUGCCGAUGGUGAUGAAGUGACGAGCGGGACUCUUUUGUCUUAUUAUGUAUUAAUGAACUCUAGGGAUACAUGUCUUCAUACAUGUAAUCAGAACCUUAUUCCGCUGCGUAUUCAGAAGUUUUAUGUUAUUUUGGCUAAGUCGGAGUUAUCCGAACUUACUAGUUAUUUGAGUCUAUACGACUAAACCUCCGUUAUAUUAUAAAUAUCCCUUUUGUUAACAAUGAUGAAAUGCGAUCCUUCCUUGUUUGAUUAUUCCCCUUUCUACCCCGCUUCUAAUCUCCCUCCAUUAGUCACGGUUUCCCCGGCUUAAUUAUCCUUAAUUAGGGCCGGUCGUGACAUUCCCUUACGCUAUCUGAGUUACUUUACAUUUAAUAGACUUCACUCUCUCUCUGCGAACUACCUUUUCCAAAUUCAUAAGAAGCUUGUCUCUUCACUCUUACA